rnacentral:rRNA from 1 species
UGGGGAAUUUUGGACAAUGGGCGCAAGCCUGAUCCAGCCAUGCCGCGUGAGUGAAGAAGGCCUUCGGGUUGUAAAGCUCUUUUGUCCGGAAAGAAAAGCUUCGGGUUAAUACCCCGGGGUUCUGACGGUACCGGAAGAAUAAGCACCGGCUAACUUCGUGCCAGCAGCCGCGGUAAUACGAAGGGUGCAAGCGUUACUCGGAAUUACUGGGCGUAAAGCGUGCGUAGGUGGUUGUUUAAGUCUGAUGUGAAAGCCCUGGGCUCAACCUGGGAAUGGCAUUGGGAACUGGGCUGCUAGAGUGCGGUAGAGGGUAGUGGAAUUCCCGGUGUAGCAGUGAAAUGCGUAGAGAUCGGGAGGAACAUCUGUGGCGAAGGCGACUGCCUGGACCAGCACUGACACUGAGGCACGAAAGCGUGGGGAGCAAACA